GAUGAACGCUGACAGAAUGCUUAACACAUGCAAGUCAACUUGAACUUCGGUUUGGGUGGCGGACGGGUGAGUCACGCGUAAAGAACUUGCCUCACAGCUAGGGACAACAUUUGGAAACGAAUGCUAAUACCUGAUAUUAUGAUUAUAUGGCAUCGUAUAAUUAUGAAAGCUAUAUGCGCUGUGAGAGAGCUUUGCGUCCCAUUAGCUAGUUGGAGAGGUAACAGCUCACCAAGGCGAUGAUGGGUAGCCGGCCUGAGAGGGUGAUCGGCCACAAGGGGACUGAGACACGGCCCUUACUCCUACGGGAGGCAACAGUGGGGAAUAUUGGACAAUGGACCGAGAGUCUGAUCCAGCAAUUCUGUGUGCACGAUGAAGUUUUUCGGAAUGUAAAGUGCUCUCAGUUGGGAAGAAAAAAAUGACGGUACCAACAGAAGAAGUGACGGCUAAAUACGUG
rnacentral:rRNA from 1 species